rnacentral:rRNA from 1 species
GACGAACGCUGGCGGCGUGCUUAACACAUGCAAGUCGAACGGAGAAAGUGGAGCUUGCUCCGCUGGAUCAGUGGCGAACGGGUGAGUAACACGUGGGCAACCUGCCGCAGACUCCGGGAUAACCCCUCGAAAGAGGUGCUAAUACCGGAUACGUAGCCCCCAGGCAUCUGGGGGCUUGGAAAGGUUUUCGGUCUGGGAUGGGCCCGCGGCCUAUCAGCUUGUUGGUGAGGUAACGGCUCACCAAGGCGCCGACGGGUAGCCGGCCUGAGAGGGCGACCGGCCACACUGGGACUGGGACACGGCCCAGACUCCUACGGGAGGCAGCAGUGGGGAAUAGUGCGCAAUGGGCGAAGGCCUGACGCAGCAACGCCGCGUGAGGGAUGACGGCCUUCGGGUUGUAAACCUCUUUCAGCAGGGAAGAAGCGAAAGUGACGGUACCUGCAGAAGAAGCACCGGCUAACUACGUGCCAGCAGCCGCCGUAA